rnacentral:tRNA from 1 species
GCCGAUGUGGUGGAACUAGCAGACGCAGCGGACUCACACUCCGCCGGCCCCUACGCAAUCAACGCGUAUGCCGUGAGGGUUCGAGUCCCUCCAUCGGCACCA